rnacentral:rRNA from 1 species
UUAAGCCAUGCGAGUCAAAUGUUCUUCGUGAACAUGGCGUACUGCUCAGUAACACGUGGAUAACCUGCCUUAGGACUGGCGUAACCCCGGGAAACUGGGGAUAAUUCCGGAUAGUUCAUGGUAGCUGGAAUGCUCCAUGAUCGAAAGCUAUUGCGCCUAAGGAUGGGUCUGCGGUCUAUCAGGUAGUAGUGGGUGUAAUGUACCUACUAGCCGACGACGGAUACGGGUUGUGGGAGCAAGAGCCCGGAGAUGGAUUCUGAGACAUGAAUCCAGGCCCUACGGGGCGCAGCAGGCGCGAAAACUUUACAAUGCGGGAAACCGCGAUAAGGGGACGCCGAGUGCCAGCAUCUUAUGUUGGCUGUCCGCAUGUAUAAAUCACAUGUGUUAGCAAGGGCCGGGCAAGACCGGUGCCAGCCGCCGCGGUAACACCGGCGGCCCGAGUGGUGGCCACUAUUAUUGGGUCUAAAGGGUCCGUAGCCGGUUUGGUCAGUCUUCCGGGGAAUCUGACGGCUUAACCGUUAGGCUUUCGGGGGAUACUACCAGGCUUGGGACCGGGAGAGGUAAGAGGUACUACGGGGGUAGGAGUGAAAUCUUGUAAUCCUCGUGGGACCACCAGUGGCGAAGGCGUCUUACCAGAACGGGUCCGACGGUGAGGGACGAAAGCUGGGGGCACGAACCGGAUUAGAUACCCGGGUAGUCCCAGCCGUAAACUAUGCUCGCUAGGUGUCAGGGACGGUGCGACCGUUUCUGGUGCCGCAGGGAAGCCGUGAAGCGAGCCACCUGGGAAGUACGGUCGCAAGGCUGAAACUUAAAGGAAUUGGCGGGGGAGCACUACAACGGGUGGAGCCUGCGGUUUAAUUGGACUCAACGCCGGAAAACUCACCGGGGGCGACAGCAAUAUGUAGG